CUCCUAGUAACGGCGAGUGAACGGAGAUUAGCCCAUCACCGAAGUCCGGUGCUUUUGCAUUCAGGACAAUGUGGUGUUUAAGCUUGUACCUGGGGCUGCGAACCUACCCGAAGUCCAACUCCGAUUGUGGCUUGGAUUAUGCCCGUAGCGGGUGAGAGGCCCGUACGGGUAGGUUUUUGUGCUAUUCAGCCCUCAGAUGUGCUAGCUUUCGAGUCGGAUUGCUUGAGAAUGCAGUCCAAAGUGGGUGGUAAACUCCAUCCAAGGCUAAAUACUGGCACGAGUCCGAUAGUAGACAAGUACCGUGAGGGAAAGUUGAAAAGUACUCUGAAGAGAGAGUAAAUAGUACGUGAAACCGGUUGCAGGGAAGCUGGUGGAGUCAAGCUUCAUGCUUGGUGGAUUUGUGGCUGCAGUUUUGUGCGUGAUCUCUAGACUGGUCAGCUUGGAAAGAGUUGGGCGCAUUCGUGUGCUUCAAGUCAUUCUGGGUUGAAUGUUUGUAUUGGUCUAGUAGUUCUGCUGCAGUUGCUCUAUCCACCGCUGCAUAAAUCAUGGUCGAUAGCAUUGCCCGCGUGCUGUGUGGUUGUCUAACUGUGCUUUGGUAGGCUUUGUGCUUGCUGGGUGCAGGAUGGCAGGUGGUGGCGACGUGCUUUCAGUGCGUUGUCAUUUAUAGUGGUUUUGACCAGCUGAUGACCAUACAGUAUCGUAGCUAUCGUUGUUGCCUAUUGAAUUGUCUAUGUACUUUCAACAAUUAGAACCAUGAUUCUGAGGUAGACUUUCCACCCGACCCGUCUUGAACAACGGA
rnacentral:rRNA from 1 species